AUUCAUCUGAUUUCAUUUGCAAGCAGUGAUGGAAUUAGGUUGCCAAGAACUUGGGAGGUUUGCUUUCUCUACACUAAAUUUAGCAUAAUGUCUUUUUUGUUCAGGGGGUCCUCAAGUACUGUGGAAAAAUAGAAGAGUGUCAACAAUGGAUUUGAACAUAAGCUGCCAGCAAGCUGAAUGAAUGGUUUGCCUGUCACAUUCAUUGAAUGUUCUGAAGUAUCCCUGACAAGAUACAAUAAAGAAAAUAUAGAAUUAAGAAAAAGCAUUCCUAAUUGGAGCAGUGUGAAAAGACAAAAAGAGGAUGUCUUGGAAGAGAAAGAAGAAUGUCCUAGAGAAUGGAUGAAAACCUCAGAACAUCUACAUUAGCUGCAUUUAUAUGCAAAACCAGGCAAUCAAACUGGUAUUGGUUGAUAACUAAACAAGAAAUUAGUGUUCCUUGCAAGAAUGAUGAUAAGCUGGUGAUGAAAA